rnacentral:rRNA from 1 species
CCUACGGGAGGCAGCAGUGGGGAAUAUUGCACAAUGGGCGAAAGCCUGAUGCAGUGACGCCGCGUGGGGGAUGAAGGCCUUCGGGUUGUAAACUCCUUUUAGUAGGGAAGAAGCCGUAAGGUGACGGUACCUGCAGAAAAAGCGCCGGCUAACUACGUGCCAGCAGCCGCGGUAAU